CUUUUCUAUUUUUUUACAUGUUUGCAACAAAUUUUCCAGUUUUAAAAGUGCUAUUAAAUGCUUCUUCUGCUAAUUGUUUUACGUCACGAUACCCAACAUUACUUGCAGCUACCUUUUUUUUCCAGAAGUGCCCAAAUUGGCUCUAUUGGGUUAAGAUCACAGUGGUAUGGUGGAAGCCGAACUACUGUAUGCCCAUGUUCUCCCAAAAUAGUAUCUUUCUCAUAUAUAGGAUUAGGUUUAUUAUUUUUUACUAAAGUUAAUAAAUUAGGUUUCCUUAGUGAUGAAUGAAAUGGAAUAUUAUUUUCUAAUAACCAUAAUUUUAUAUCAUCGACACAAGUACUGGUGUUUGGUGAUUUGUUUAUAAUUACUGAAUGGUAAGGAGCAUUAUCAAAAACUAUAAUAGAAGCCUCGUGUAGAUUGGGAAUAAGUUUUUCCGUAAUCCAUUUAGUGAAAUUAUUUGCAUUCAUUUCUGAGUGAUAAUCUUCCAUUUUAUUA
rnacentral:misc_RNA from 1 species